rnacentral:rRNA from 1 species
CCCUUAGAUGUUCUGGGCCGCACGCGCGCUACACUGACGCAUUCAACGAGUCUCCUUGGCCGAGAGGCCUGGGUAAUCUUGUGAACGUGCGUCGUGAUAGGGAUAGAUUAUUGCAAUUAUUAAUCUUGAACGAGGAAUUCCUAGUAAACGCAGAUCAUCAAUCUGCAUUGAUUACGUCCCUGCCCUUUGUACACACCGCCCGUCGCACCUACCGAUUGGAUGGUCCGGUGAAGCCUCGGGAUUGUGGCCGGUGCAUUAACUUGUGUCGGUUGCGAGAACUUGUCUAAACCUUAUCAUCUAGAGGAAGGUGAAGUCGUAACA